AUCCAGGUGAUAAGUCCCAAAAAGGACGAAACGCGUUUUCUGGAU
rnacentral:hammerhead_ribozyme from 1 species